rnacentral:tRNA from 1 species
GCCUGGCUGGCUCAGUUGGAGGAGCAUGUGACUUUGAUCUCAGGGUUGUGAGUUUGAUCCCCAUGUUAGGUG